rnacentral:tRNA from 1 species
GCCCCCAUAGCCCAAUUGGCAGAGGCAGCCGACUUAAAAUCGGCACAGUCUGGGUUCGAACCCCAGUGGGGGCACCA